rnacentral:rRNA from 1 species
GAUGAACGCUGGCGGCGUGCCUAAUACAUGCAAGUCGAGCGAACAGACGAGGAGCUUGCUCCUCUGACGUUAGCGGCGGACGGGUGAGUAACACGUGGAUAACCUACCUAUAAGACUGGGAUAACUUCGGGAAACCGGAGCUAAUACCGGAUAAUAUAUUGAACCGCAUGGUUCAAUAGUGAAAGACGGUUUUGCUGUCACUUAUAGAUGGUUCCGCGCCGCAGUAGCUAGUUGGUAAGGUAACGGCUUACAAAGGCAACGAUGCGUAGCCGACCUGAGAGGGGGAUCGGCGACACUGGAGCUGAGACACGGUCCAGACUCCUAAGGGAGGCAGCAGUAGGGAAUCUUCCGCAAUAGGCGAAAGCCUGACGGAGCAACGCCGCGUGAGUGAUGAAGGUCUUCGGAUCGUAAAACUCUGUUAUGAGGGAAGAACAAAUGUGGAAGUAACUAUGCACGGCGUGACGGUACCUAAUCAGAAAGCAACGGCUAACUACGUG